AUGCGAUUUCGCGCUAAGAUCGUGGAUCUGGCCUGCCUCAACCACUUCAGUCGUGUAAUUAACACAAUCGCCAGGUUAGCGAAGACCUGCACCCUGCGCCUUACUGUCAGCAAGCUGUAUUUCAUCCUCUCCGAUAAAGUAGCAAAUGGAGGCGUCAGUAUGUGGUGUGAGCUGUGCCAGGGGAAUUUCUUUGACGAAUUUCAGAUGGAAGGAGUAGCUGCAGACCACAAUGAAAUCUAUUUAGAGUUGGUGCCUGAGAACCUGUCGAGAGCAUUAAAAACUGCCCAGAGUGCUAAGGCAGUGAAGAUCAAGUUGACCAACAAACACUGGCCCUGUCUCAGAGUUGCUGUGGAGCUACCGUCCUUAUCAAGCAGCAGUAGGUUUGUGACACAUGAUAUUCCUGUGGGGGUUAUUCCCAGAAGAUUAUGGAAUGACUUCAGAGAGCCCAGUGUGCCAGACUUUGAUGUCAGUAUUUACCUACCAGUGCUGAAAACAAUGAAGAGUGUUGUGGAGAGAAUGAAGAAUCUCAGCAAUUCCAUUGUGAUUGAAGCAAAUUUGAGCGGAGAAAUGAACUUGAAAAUAGAAACUGACUUAGUAUCUGUAACAACACAUUUUAAAGACUUGGGAAAUCCUCCCUGGGCAUCAGAGGAUGGAUGUCAAAGUUCUGCUCAAGGCAGAGAUCUGGAAAGCAUGGCUGAGGCACGCAUAGAUAUCAAGAAGCUGCAGCAGCUGCUUGCUGGACAGCAGGUCAAUCCCACAAAAGCAUUGUGCAGUAUUGUAAGCAAGAGAAUCGUCCACUUCAUCUUGCUCCAUGAGGAUGUUUCACUUCAGUAUUUUAUUCCGGCACUUGCAUGAAUGUUUUGGAAUCUCAGUCAUUUGCCAACCUGAGGUCUUUUCCACAAAGUUGGAAAACUUUCAUGAGUUGCUGGAGUACUCUUAUGUGAUUUGCUAUUAGAUGCAGCCAUCAGAUGGACAUUAUUUCCAUAUUUAUGAAAUUUUUCAAAGUAUCUCCUCAUCCAGAAAGCUGUUUUUGUGAAGAGUUGCAUACUAUGAAAGACACAACACUGGGGAGCUGGCAUAUCUGAGUGUUAUGGGAACCAAAACUGAAAUUUGUAUGUGCUUUUGGGAUGCUUUGAGCUGUGGGGAAGGCAACCUAAUUAUUUUUUUUCCUGUUGACAAACAUGAAGGUAAAAUUGACUGCUGGAGCUGCUGCUGGGUGUAUUCAGUAUUGGACAAUGCAGCUCCAAGUUAAGGAAUCUCCUAGCAAGCUGUCAUACCUCCAUGGAGCAAGAGAGCCCUCUGGAGGGUUGACAGAUUGAUAUUUGCCUGGGGAGGUAAGCACAGCCCCCCUGAGGCGGACUUCUGUUCCAGCAGUGAUGUAUAUGGACUUGAUGCUGCUGCAUGUUGUGCAUCAAGAAUGUGUCUGAGGCAGAGGAGCUUCCUGUGGCUGCCAGCAUGUAACAGGAUGUAACAUGCUAAGAAGAACCAACAGCUCAGCAGUAUGCAAGUGGUCGAGAGAAGACUGAAGGAGAGGCAGUGGCCUGGGAAUGUUAUGCUUCUUCACCUUCUUCCACCAUUUCUAUCAGACUAACCAGAAAGCAUCUUCCAAAUCCUGUUAGUUUUCAUGGGCAACUGCAAUUACCCAAAAAAUUUGUGUAAGAUGAAAACACCUGUACACCAGAUUACAGCAAUUGUAUGGUAAGAGGUUCAACCAGCAGUGAAGCUGAGCUUGUGUCCCAGAGACAUGACAGACACACCCAGGAUGCUGACAUGGCUGGUCACAGACUGCCACAGAUAAGCUGUGCCUUCAACUGCAUUUACAUACAGGACCCACGUAAAACAAGCACAGCUCCCUUGCCGGCUGCAGCAUUGUGUGUUGCCCGUAAUUCUGCGCGCGAAGAUCCGAAUGAAGACGACAGUCGUAAGUUUACCAUUUGGUUAGAUCCCGAAUGAAGACGAUGGAAUCGUAAAUUUUAGGCGUAUCCCGUUCGGUUAGAUCCCGAAUGAAGACGACAGAGUCGUAAGUUUAGACGUAUCCCGUUCGGUUGGGUGGGAUUCGGUUGCCUGUGUGUGUAAGAGUGUGAUUGAGACAGAACUCAGUUCUGAAGCGAUUGUGGAGGUCUUCUAACCGCGGUUCCAAUCUCCCACGAGGGACUUGGCCGGUGAAGGACCGAAGCGGUUCCUAUAGGAUUCGUGGGUGGGUGAUAGGUCCUAAACCCCCUGCAAGACACUCUUACUAAGGUGACCAAGGGUUGUAGGAAUUGCCAUAGUAAAAUUCCUAGAUGGGUCUGACAAAUUCGAAGACCAGGGACCAGGAAGAAGGGAGCAAAUUACCGGACAUACCACCAGAAAGUCCAUUAGGAAUAAUGAUUGGAAAUUGGAACGAUGGGGGCCCCAGAAAAGGAAAAAGUAAAUUAGAAUUGGUCCAGUAUUGUAUGAUAGAAUGGCCAAAGAAGCUUUUAAGACAUGUUUUUUGCCUUGUUUUUGGAUCCUUUGAGGACUGGAUGUGCCAGGCCUUAAAUAUACAUGUUAAUUCAAAGGAGCCUUUUAGUCAGGAGGAAAGUGAUUAUGCAGGAUUAUGGAUCGGGACUUCACGUCCUUUUCCAGC